GGUGCCACACCGGCCUCAAUUCUAGGCCUCCUACUUCAUUCCAGCUUUGGCCAGAGGACCUCUACUGAGGGCAACGGAGCACUUAUCCAGCUACCUGCAAAGAAGAUAACUUUAUGUAAAGCAGCUAGCAGGAACUGAUUGGCAUCUUGACUCCCAAGAGAGUGCCAGCUUCCAAGGGAGAAUGGCAGGCCAUCCCAAGUCAAGCAUCUACACCGAUCCAGUCAUCUUGGGCUGCAAGAGCAGAGCUAUAAAUAUAGAAGUUCUCCAUUUAGAGAUUCUGCUUCUUGGUUAUUAUAUCGAGUGUGCAGUAUUGUGUCAUUGAGCGAAUCAAGAAUUUGAGGCACAGGGAGUUGAUAGUGAUGGAUGAAAGAUCUGAAGCCUGUGUUGUUUCCAGUGUGCAAGAGAUAACCAUAAUAAUGGACAGAGGAGAUACUGGAGUGGAAAGGAAACUAAGAGAUGUUCUUCUCAAACCUCUCACCCAAUGCAGAAGUCACCUUGACAGAUCCAUCAUAUAAUCAAGCAAAGGCUUUACUGCCUA